GGGCCUUUGGUCUAGUGGUAUGACGCAUCCUUAGCAUGGAUGAGGUCCGGGGUUCAAUUCCCCGAAGGUCCA
rnacentral:tRNA from 1 species